rnacentral:rRNA from 1 species
CAGCCGCCGCGGUAAUACGGGGGGAGCAAGCGUUGUUCGGAUUUACUGGGCGUAAAGGGCGCGUAGGCGGCGUGACAAGUCACUUGUGAAAUCUCCGGGCUUAACUCGGAACGGUCAAGUGAUACUGUCGUGCUAGAGUACAGAAGGGGCAACUGGAAUUCUCGGUGUAGCGGUGAAAUGCGUAGAUAUCGAGAGGAACACCUGCGGCGAAGGCGGGUUGCUGGGCUGAUACUGACGCUGAGGCGCGAAAGCCAGGGGAGCGAACGGGAUUAGAUACCCCGGUAGUCCUGGCCUUAAACGAUGAAUGCUUGGUGUCUCGGGUUAUAAAGUCCCGGGGUGCCGUCGCUAACGCUUUUAGCAUUCCGCCUGGGGAGUACGGUCGCAAGACUGAAACUCAAAUGAAUUGACGG